rnacentral:rRNA from 1 species
AACGAACGCUGGCGGCAUGCCUAACACAUGCAAGUCGAACGAGACCUUCGGGUCUAGUGGCGCACGGGUGCGUAACGCAUGGGAACCUGCCCUUAGGUUCGGCAUAACUCCCCGAAAGGGGUGCUAAUACCGGAUAAUGUCUUCGGACCAAAGAUUUAUCGCCUUUGGAUGGGCCCGCGUUGGAUUAGCUAGUUGGUAGGGUAAAAGCCUACCAAGGCGACGAUCCAUAGCUGGUCUGAGAGGAUGAUCAGCCACACUGGGACUGAGACACGGCCCAGACUCCUACGGGAGGCAGCAGUGGGGAAUAUUGGACAAUGGGCGAAAGCCUGAUCCAGCAAUGCCGCGUGAGUGAUGAAGGCCUUAGGGUUGUAAAGCUCUUUUACCCGGGAUGAUAAUGACAGUACCGGGAGAAUAAGCUCCGGCUAACUCCGUG